CCUACGGGGGGCAGCAGUGGGGAAUAUUGGACAAUGGGGGGAACCCUGAUCCAGCCAUGCCGCGUGUGUGAAGAAGGCCCUCGGGUUGUAAAGCACUUUCAGUGAGGAAGAACGCCUGGUGGUUAAUACCCAUCAGGAAAGACAUCACUCACAGAAGAAGCACCGGCUAACUCCGUGCCAGCAGCCGCGGUAAUACGGAGGGUGCGAGCGUUAAUCGGAAUUACUGGGCGUAAAGCGCGCGUAGGUGGCUUGAUAAGCCGGUUGUGAAAGCCCCGGGCUCAACCUGGGAACGGCAUCCGGAACUGUCAAGCUAGAGUGCAGGAGAGGAAGGUAGAAUUCCCGGUGUAGCGGUGAAAUGCGUAGAGAUCGGGAGGAAUACCAGUGGCGAAGGCGGCCUUCUGGACUGACACUGCCACUGAGGUGCGAAAGCGUGGGUAGCAAACAGGAUUAGAUACCCUUGUAGUC
rnacentral:rRNA from 1 species